UGAGCUGUAGCUCAGUGGUUGAAGUAUGUGCUUAGAAUGCACAAAGCCCUGGGUUCGAUCCCCAGCACCACAC
rfam:Ictidomys tridecemlineatus contig092220, whole genome shotgun sequence.